UAGCUCAGUUGGUAGAGCGCUCCACUUGUAAUGGAGAGGUCCCGGGUUCGAUACCCGG
rnacentral:tRNA from 1 species